rfam:Anopheles sinensis unplaced genomic scaffold AS2_scf7180000695476, whole genome shotgun sequence.
GUCAGGAUGGCCGAGCGGUCUAAGGCGCCAGACUCAAGAGCAAUCUUGCCUGCAAGUUCCAGGUUCCGAGCGUUCUGGUCUUCUCUGAAGGCGUGGGUUCGAAUCCCACUUCUGACA